rnacentral:tRNA from 1 species
GCAAGGCACUGAAAAUGCCUAGAUGAGUAUUCUUACUCCAUAAACA